GUCACAUGUCCACAACGAACUAACCAACCCUGGGAGGUAUCAGAGAGCAAAUGCUAUGUUUACUGAGCACUCGUAUCUCUGCCACAGGUGGCCUUACCGGAAAGGAUCUGUUGAAUACCAGGAUUGCUGGACUGGGUCUUGAAAGACGAUUCACCAUCCAGUAAAGAGAAAUUGGAAGCUGGGGUAGAAGGUAAUCGCAUGCGGCUCUGCUUAAGCAAAGACUGGGGCAAGAAACAGAUAUGAGCAUUAAAUGUGCUAAUAUAAUAGUGCCUGGCAUA